UUUUAUCUUCUAUCCAAAAAAAUUAAAAACUUUCAUUUUCUCUGAUUUUAUUUUCCAUCAAUCCAAACAUAACUUAUUUUCCUCCAUCCCAUGAACUAUCCAAAUAUUACUAUAAGUGUAAAGUUUCCACAAACUCUUUCCAUUCCCUAGAGAAAGCUUGCCACCUUUUAACUUGGGUAGCAAGGAAUUGAAGCUUGUAGCUCUGGAAAUGAGCCUCCCAGUCCCAGAUAUGAUAGAUUUAUGCAGUGAUGAUGAGUGUGGAGAAUCAGAUGUCAUCAAAGGUUCAAGUAAGAAACCCAAAAAUCAAGGUGGUUCACUUGAUGACUCAAGCCAUCGUUUUGGAACCUCUUUACCUCCACCACCAAUAUCUCGGCAAUUCUGGAAAGCUGGGGACUAUGAAGGAGGGCAGGGACAGGUUCAUGGUGCUGCAAAUCAAAGAAAAUAUGAAAAAAAUCAUCUCCAUGUGCAUCCUAUGUUCCUUCAUUCAAAUGCAACCUCACAUAAAUGGGUUUUUGGUGCAAUAGCGGAGCUGGUUGAUAAUGCUAUUGAUGAGAUAAAAAAUGGGGCUACCUUUGUUGAUAUAAACAAAAUUGCAAAUCCUCGGGGUGGGGGUCCAGCUUUGCAAAUCCAAGAAGAUAAUGGUGGUGGAAUGGAUCCUGAAGAGAUGAGGCGGUGUUUGAGCUUUGGAUUCUCGAAGAAAAUGAAAUGUGCUAUCGGACGAUAUGGAAAUGGCUUCAAGGCUAGCACUAUGAGACUGGGAGCUGAUGUUGUCGUCUUCAGUCGACAUAGAAACAUGAGGUCAUCAACUCAAAGUGUUGGACUCCUCUCUUAUACUUUUUUGAGAAGCAUGGGCCAUGAAAAGAUCAUCAUACCAAUGGUUGAUUAUGAAUUUAAUUCAUCAACUGAAUCAUUUGGACCCAUUUUUCAUCAUGGUAUGGAGCACUUCUCUUCAAAUCUGACCAUGCUACUGCAAUGGUCUCCUUAUUCAACAGAAGAUGAGUUUCUGAAGCAAUUUGAUGAUAUAGGGGAUCAAGGAACAAAAAUUGUGAUGUACAAUCUUUGGUUCAAUGAUGAUGGGGAUAUGGAAUUAGAUUUUGAUUCUGAUAUUGAGGAUAUCCGCAUUAGUGGGGACGUAAAAUUAUUUGGUGAACAUUCAAAACCAAUAUUCCAACAGCAUAUAGCAAAUGUAUACAAUUAUUCUCUUCGUGUAUAUUUGUCCAUCUUGUAUCUGCGGCUACCACAGUUUUUUAACAUAAAAUUGCGAGGACGUGUUGUGGAGCAACAUAAUAUUGCUGAUGAUCUUAAAUUUGCUGAAUUCAUCCUAUAUAGGCCACAAACUGGUGUAAAAGAUCAGACUGCAGUUAUUACUACAAUAGGGUUUCUGAAGGAAGCUCCAGAUGUAAAUGUCCAUGGGUUCAAUAUCUACUAUCGAAACCGACUUAUACUACCUUUUUGGCGUGUGCUUAGGAAUACAACAAACAGCAGCGGUAGGGGAAUUGUUGGUGUCCUGGAAGCAAAUUACAUAGAGCCUACUCAUAAUAAGCAAGAUUUUGAGAGGAGUUCCCUUUUUCAAAAGCUUGAAGACCGUUUAAAGCAAAUGACUAUAGAAUACUGGCAUUUGCACUGUGAAUUGAUUGGUUAUCAAGGGAAAAAAUCUUCUGCACUGCCUUCUCAGGAGAUGCAUUAUUCUGAAACUGGUACCAAGGAAGAAUUAAAUACAAAGCGAAGGGGGCCUGUUCCUCUAGCUGGUCAAGAAUUUGCUCGGGCCUAUGCUGCUGAUACCUGGCACAUAAUGGAAGACCAGUCUUACAUUAGAAGCAAGCAACAGGUGCAACGGGAAAAGGCAUCACUCGUAAUGCAACAAAACAAGAAGCUUCGUUUGCAGAUAUCAGAGUUAGAGAAAAAUGUGGAAGGCUUUUAUCUUAAGAUAUCCACCUGCCAUCAGACAUGCUGAUGCCAAUACCUAAACCGGGACAUCCUUCACAUGAUUCUUUCUCCAGUUCCCUGAAAGAUCGGAUCAGGAAGCGAGGGGAAUGAGGUGGAACAGCUUCAAAGCGAGCUAAUUGAAGUUCAACACGAGUGUACAAGACUUUUGGCAGAAUCAAAAGCAAUGGACAUAAUCGAUUAAGGGAGAUAUGUGACAGGAUACUGACUUCUAAAGAAACAAAAAAUGUGCAUAUAGUCUUUUUAUUCCAUCAGCCAUGAAGAUGACAUGUACAUAGAUUACUGGUGAAUGAAUCACAAAUACAGUAACCCUUUUUGACAGUACAGAUGGUAAUAGCAGCAACAUUUUAUCUGUAGAAAGCAAGGGCUACUUGUGUCCUAUAAACCAUAGCUUUGUUAAAUGAAAAAUCUGUUAGUUUCUUUGCGCAAUAGAAUCAUUUUCCCCUAGUAUGGCUUUUUUC